UACAGAGGUCCCAAGCGUUGUUCGGAUUCAUUGGGCGUAAAGGGUGCGUAGGUGGCGUCGUAAGUCGGGUGUGAAAUCUCGGGGCUUAACUCCGAAACUGCAUUCGAUACUGCGGUGCUUGAGGACUGGAGAGGAGACUGGAAUUUACGGUGUAGCAGUGAAAUGCGUAGAGAUCGUAAGGAAGACCAGUGGCGAAGGCGGGUCUCUGGACAGUUCCUGACACUGAGGCGCGAAAGCGUGGGGAGCAAACAGG
rnacentral:rRNA from 1 species